rnacentral:rRNA from 1 species
GAUGAACGCUGGCGGCGUGCCUAAUACAUGCCAGUCGAGCGAACAGACGAGGAGCUUGCUCCUCUGACGUUAGCGGCGGACGGGUGAGUAACACGUGGAUAACCUACCUAUAAGACUGGGAUAACUUCGGGAAACCGGAGCUAAUACCGGAUAAUAUAUUGAACCGCUUGGUUCAAUAGUGAAAGACGGUUUUGCUGUCACUUAUAGAUGGAUCCGCGCCGCAUUAGCUAGUUGGUAAGGUAACGGCUUACCAAGGCAACGAUGCGUAGCCGACCUGAGAGGGUGAUCGGCCACACUGGAACUGAGACACGGUCCAGACUCCUACGGGAGGCAGCAGUAGGGAAUCUUCCGCAAUGGGCGAAAGCCUGACGGAGCAACGCCGCGUGAGUGAUGAAGGUCUUCGGAUCGUAAAACUCUGUUAUUAGGGAAGAACAAAUGUGUAAGUAACUAUGCACGUCUUGACGGUACCUAAUCAGAAAGCCACGGCUAACUACGUG